UCAAGGUGAGAGAUACGGAGGUAGAGCACUGAAUGUCCUAGGGGGUAUUGCACCUACCGAAGACUAUCAAACUCCGAAUGCCGUCAUCUUAUACUUGGGAGUCAGACUGUGGGUGAUAAGAUUCAUAGUCGAAAGGGCAACAGCCCAGAUCGUCAGCUAAGGUCCCUAAAUGUAAGUUAAGUGGUAAAGGAUGUGGGAUUGCACAGACAACCAGGAUGUUGGCUUAGAAGCAGCCACUCAUUCAAAGAGUGCGUAAUAGCUCACUGGUCGAGUGAUCCUGCGCCGAAGAUUUCCGGGGCUAAAACUUACUACCGAAGCUACGGCAUCAGUAAUGAUGGGUAGGGGAGCUUCCCAUACGGGUUGAAGCAUGACCGUAAGGACAUGUGGACAGUAUGGGAGUGAGAAUGUUGGCAUGAGUAGCGAGAUGUGGGUGAGAAUCCCACAGGCCGUAAACCCAAGGUUUCCAGGGGAAGGUUCGUCCGCCCUGGGUUAGUCGGGACCUAAGCUGAGGCCGAAAGGCGUAGGUGAUGGACAACAGGUUGAUAUUCCUGUACUACCGAUAACCGUUUGAGAGAAGGGAUGACACAGUAGGAUAAGCUAAGCACACUGUUGGUUAUGUGUGCCCAAGCAUUGAGGCAGUCAAAGUAGGCAAAUCCGCUUUGAUAAUGCUGGGAUGUGAUGGGGAGCGAAAUUUAGUAGCGAAGUAGCUGAUUUCACACUGUCAAGAAAAGUCUCUAUCGAGGUUAAAGGUACCCGUACCGCAAACCGACACAGGUGGGUGAGGAGAGUAUCCUAAGGCCAGCGAGAGAACUGUUGUUAAGGAACUCGGCAAAAUGACCCCGUAACUUAGGGAUAAGGGGUGCCACCAUCAGGUGGCCGCAGAGAAUAGGCCCAAGCGACUGUUUACCAAAAACAUAGGUUUCUGCUAAGUCGCAAGACGAUGUAUAGGAGCUGACGCCUGCCCGGUGCUGGAAGGUUAAGGGGAUCUGUUAGAGCAAUCGAAGCAGUGAACUUAAGCCCCAGUAAACGGCGGCCGUAACUAUAACGGUCCUAAGGUAGCGAAAUUCCUUGUCGGGUAAGUUCCGACCCGCACGAAAGGCGUAACGAUUUGGGCACUGUCUCAACAACAGACUCGGUGAAAUUGUAAUUCCGGUGAAGAUGCCGGAUACCUGCGACAGGACGGAAAGACCCCAUGGAGCUUUACUGUAGCUUGACAUUGGGUCUUGGUACUACAUGUACAGGAUAGGUGGGAGGCUUUGAAACCAGGACGCCAGUUUUGGCGGAGCCAUCCUUGGGAUACCACCCUUGUAGUACUGGGACUCUAACCAUAGGCCAUGAAUCUGGUCUUGGGACACUGUCAGGUGGGCAGUUUGACUGGGGCGGUCGCCUCCCAAAAGGUAACGGAGGCG
rnacentral:rRNA from 1 species